rnacentral:rasiRNA from 1 species
CGGGACUUAAGGUCUUCAAGGUGAAUU